GGAGGCUUUGGUUUUACUCCUGAUUGGUCUUCCAUUGAUUAUAGUGGCUGUGCGGAAGAGAAAGAAGACUAAGGGUCUGCUGUCGUCCUCCAUCAUAGAGUUUAAUCCAGUGCUAUAUGAACAGAUCAAAGACACUGGACGUCACUGUAAUCCAGAGGGCAGAGACACAGAAACAACUGUAGUUUAUAGCUGUGCUUCCUAAACUUGUGUCAUAUGUGUUCCUACAGACCCGAGUUUCUGUUUAUUUUGUUGUAUGUCUGUUAAUGUGUGCUGUAUGUAGCAUUUUCUUGUUAGAUGUUUGGCUCAAGGUUUGUCAGGUUAGUUUCAUCUGUUCACUCCUGCUGGUAGAUGCUGGAACUGCACCGGUCUGCUGCUAAAGAGCAUCUUUCUCCAUUGAUGACCAUUCAAGAGUAGCUGUAUAUUCUGAUAAAUCCUUGCAAGCAACAAAUAACGGAGGCUCCUAUAAGCAGCUGCCAUUGAGAUGCUAAUACUAACGGUUAGCUUUAUGAAAAUAUUACUAAGGCCUUUUUGCUUCAGUUAAACAUCAGAUGUCCGCAGCAGUUACUUACCAAACAGGAAGUUCAACCACAGCCACAGGAAGAGCUGUGAGGCUUCAGCUAAACACACGCUACAC